GGAUAUUUAGAGACAGCAUAAGAUGCCAUGAGCAACUUAAAGAUGUUUUUAAUGUAGUGACUACAUAGAUUAAUAAAAAAAAAAGCUAUGUCAGAUCAAAUCGUGAUCAACCAGAGGAGUUGAUUGAUUAUAGUACAAUUUUGUAUCACAUAGCAAGAUGUUGGUAUUCCUGUACAACUUGAUUCCUUCAUUGAGUAGAAUAUAUAAGGGGUUGAAUACUUCUAUCUGAAAUUCUUUAAGGGAUUGAUGGACAUACUUUGUUUGAAAAAAAGGCUGGGGCAUGCAUCAUGAAAUGUGUUGUUACACAAGUCUGUGUUGUUACAACUAUCUCCGGAGACUGUAUUGUGCAAAGAACGAUGAGGACUCUGGAAAGUAUGUGCAAAAACCGGUUGCAAAAUCAUCGUAGCAUGGGCCUGCAAGUGUUAGCCAGUUAGUAACCUAGCAAUUUAUAGGCAGUGUUCUGCAAUUUGUGCUCGACUUACAAUCAUGUACGCGAAACCGGGAAUCGGCAAGCUUCACAGUCCGCUGGUAGGACACAGUCGAUGCCAACUGUUAUUGACAAAUUCAAGGCAGGAGCAGCACGCCAGACAGCUGGAGCCUGAGCAGCUUUUGUUGAAGUUUCCUUUUAUCUAGAAUGGAGGAGUGAAACGAGCUUGCCUCAGUCGGGAUUACUUGGCUUUUCUGUCGAAUGAUUCUUUCCAGGCUGCAUGAAAGUAGUGUCGCACGUGUGUUCACAUAAGUUCAUAUGAAUUCUCACACCUUUGAUCGAGAAUAUUUCAUGAGAUUGAAUUAAUAUAUGAACUGUAUGUGGAUAUUCUUACAGAAAAGGCUGCUUGUACCGAAUCCACAAUGGCUAGCCGAAAAUUACAAGAGAAUACAUCCAAACUAGUUCUACUUGCCAUGUAAAAUUAAGUCGCAAUUGCAGGUGAUUUGAAUUAAUCUACACCCAUCAACGCCUUUAAUUCAUCAAGCCACCGUCUCACUCUCACUCUUAAGUCUGCUCCACCAGCCACUCUUCUUUAUCAUUCGCUAAGCUGCCCUCUUUGUCGUUGCCUUAACCCCUUACCAUUCCUCAAUUAUGCAACAUAUUAUUCCUCCAGUGUUAAGCACUUCCCAACUCUGUUUCAGAAGUAAAAAGAACACAACCCUUAGCCAUCCAUGCAGUCGCUUGUUUAUGGACCAUGUUUAGUCUUUCGACAAGCCUAAGGGGGCGAUCUUGCCCCACCACGCACUCAGUGGAUCUCAGUCUCCUCAGCAACAGUGGUCAAGGGAAUUACCAGCUCUGAUGACGCUGAAUACCUGCUUAUAACGCUGAAUACCUGCUUAUAACGCUGAAUGCAGGUCACAUAGUCAGUACUGUUAGUCUAGUGCUCAAUGUCAUGCAGUUGCUUCUGGCAGUCAGUCCAGGCGGUUGCCCUACCAGGGUUAUACCCGUCAGCACAACGCUCUCUGCAGACGUAUUUCUACACCCCUUUCGCAGUUGGUACAGGGAAUCCUAGACUGCAAAAAUCAAGACAUGAGUGCAAGGUUUGUGGAACAGUGAAAUGCGGGACACUCCAACAACUUGAAUAGUAGAGCGACAGUUUGUAGAGCUCUACAAGACAAGACAUGCAGAUGCUAAAUAGGGUUUGAUACUCGUAUCCUUCGAGUAGGGGAAACCGCACGGAUGUAAUGCCCUAAGAAAUCUCUUGCUGGAUUUGAAUCCUCUAAAUGCGUACCAAGCUCCUUCUCUAGUAAUUUGAAAAAGAAAAAGAAAACUCAUGCGCGCAGCAUCCCGCCAUUCAAACGUUUCAAGCUAGUUUGACUAUUCAAACAAAGGCGACGUUCCCAGGUAUAUCACCAAGAAUUUGCGCAAGUGCGCGAUCCCCUUCAUCCCAACUUGAUUCACCCAGUACUAAAGAAAAUCAUGUCACGCUUACUGCCCCAAGCUAAGUUGUCUGUAAUGAUAGAAUCAAGCGAAGUCUCGGGAGGAACCAACCAUCAGUCACCUCACUGCUCUUAGGGUUCUGAAAAACAAACACUUCCACUUCACAUCACCCACUCUUCAGCUUGCAAGGUUACAAUCAAUGUCGACAAUCGGCGUUCUAGGUUUACGUUUGCAGAGAGCUUCGUAUGACACAAAGCGAUUACUUUACUUAGGAUUCGAAUAACGAACAAAGAGAUUAUGCUCUCUCAUAGGUAGCACAGAGCAGUGGAUUAUGCAGUACAAUUUAUGAUCUAUUACCCGUUUCAGUACGAGGCCAUGAGCUCUCAGCCAAAUAAUGUCCACAUUGCCAUUGGGCUUUCAGAAUAGCGUAUAUUGGGUUUGACCCGUUCGUCACCGAGCUCAUGCCUCGCAAAAUUUUGGCAUUCAGGGCUACAGCGACAAAUGAACAUUGAAGUAUCGGGAGGAUCUUGAACUAGGAGGAGCGGUCAGAUGUU
rnacentral:lncRNA from 1 species